UACGGGGGGUGCGAGCGUUGUCCGGAAUCACUGGGCGUAAAGGGCGCGUAGGUGGUUUGAUAAGGGUGUGGUGAAAGUCCGGGGCUCAACCCCGGAUCUGCCGUGCCGACUGUCAAACUCGAGGACUGUAGAGGCAGACGGAAUUCCGGGUGUAGCGGUGGAAUGCGUAGAGAUCCGGAGGAAGACCGGUGGCGAAGGCAGCCUCCUGGGCCAGUACUGACGCUCAUGCAUGAAAGCGUGGGGAGCAAACAGG
rnacentral:rRNA from 1 species